rnacentral:rRNA from 1 species
UACGUAGGGUGCGAGCGUUUGUCCGGAAUUAUUGGGCGUAAAGAGCUCGUAGGCGGUCUGUCGCGUCGAAUGUGAAAACCCGGGGCUCGAACUCCGGGCUUGCAUUCGAUACGGGCAGGCUAGAGUUCGGUAGGGGAGUCUGGAAUUCCUGGUGUAGCGGUGAAAUGCGCAGAUAUCAGGAGGAACACCGGUGGCGAAGGCGGGACUCUGGGCCGAUACUGACGCUGAGGAGCGAAAGCGUGGGGAGCGAACAGG